UACGUAGGGUGCAAGCGUUGGUCCGGAAUUAUUGGGCGUAAAGAGCUCGUAGGCGGUUUGUCGCGUCUGCCGUGAAAAGUCCGGGGCUCAACUCCGGAUCUGCGGUGGGUACGGGCAGACUAGAGUGAUGUAGGGGAGACUGGAAUUCCUGGUGUAGCGGUGAAAUGCGCAGAUAUCAGGAGGAACACCGAUGGCGAAGGCAGGUCUCUGGGCAUUAACUGACGCUGAGGAGCGAAAGCAUGGGGAGCGAACAGG
rnacentral:rRNA from 1 species